AAAACAAGACAUGGUAUGAAGAACAAGAUGAAAUGAGCUGAAACGAGCCACUUAUGGUUCCCCACAAGGACUUCUGCCCCAUGGAAGCGUCCACAUUGUUUUAUUGGAAUCCUGCAGAAUAUAUAUCCUGCAGGAAUAGGAAGUCCUGGAGGAUAUGCCACAGGAUUUGCGGGGCCACUUUCCUGUAGGAAUCAUGCUGGUAAACUUUAGUUGGUUUUAAUAUGGCUGGUACACCAAAAACAUCUGUGAGUAUGCAUGUGUGUUAGGCUCCAUUUUAAAUGGCGAAUGAGAGAUUGAAACUGUUUGUGGUGUUACCUUUGCCUAAAUAGCUGUCCAGUGCUGCCAUCUGUGGCAGUCAAUCUCACUGUUGUUUACAGGCUCGUUCUUAACUGGGGACGACAGGAGAGAGAUGAGAGUGGCAGAGCUCAGAAUAUAACUGCAGAACAUUUCUGUGUUACAUGAAAAACAGCGACAAAAUUGUGUCAAUUAUAUAUUGUAGUAGUAAAAGACAACCUACUCACCUUUAACUAGUAGACUACUGGACUAAUGGAGCUUUAACUAGCAGACUACUGGACUAAUGGAGCUUUAUCUAGUAGAGUACUAGACUAAUGGAGCUUUAACUAGUAGAGUACUGAACUAAUGGAGCUUUAACUAGUAGAGUACUAGACUAAUGGAACUUUAACUAGUAGAGUACUACACUAACGGAGCUCCAAAUGAGACAAAGAAUCAGAAACAGAUGAAUUAGUAAAUGUAUUGUUUUCUCAUGACCUUACCAACUCUAAUGUGGUGUGGUGCCUUCUGCUAAACUGUUAGAAAUGCAAGGUAAGGAUUUCCAGUGUUAUACUGUGUGUUUUCUGUGCUCCCUGUAGUCUAAGCUGGAAGGGAAAAGAAGAGAACUCACAUGUUGGUGGUGAAACUGUCCAAGCAAGCUAAAAGUUAAACAGAGAGAAGAAGUUAUGUUAAUGGGACGACCCUCCCACUCUGUCUGCCGUAUUCUUUCUCUUUGCUCUUGUUUACCUUAUUAGUAUGUCGGCGGGCGGAGCUGGGAGGGUCGUCAGCGACAUGGGACACACCUGGGCCCGGGUGUGUCCCGGGAUAAAUACACCUCUUCCCCCAUUCAUUGGGGAGACGCUCUCCAUGCAGACAGACUUAGAUUGUGGCACCUUUCAACACCCCUCAUUAUCACAGUUAUGCACGCAAACACUCACUUACACUACUGAUUACACACACACCAUUGUUAAUUGUAUUUAGAUUACUUCAGUUAAAAUAUUUUGAUAUUCCUUAUCGCCACGUUGUCUCCCUUCGAGCCGGAAGUUCUAUUAGCAUACUUGGGAGGUUUGGACAACAAAGCACGCAUGGGAGCAUACAUUUUCGUUCCCUUCGCCAGGGCAACACAGCGGAAAAAAACUUCUGAAUUAAUGGCGGACAUAAGUUCCCGCUUGUGAGAAAAUGUUCCAGAGGAAUAUAUUUGUCAAAUGUUGAAGCACAUCGCACCCCACCACCCAGACAGAUGUAAAGAACUUGGGAACCUCCCAUCCACCAGGGAAUUCACCCAAUUCCAGGAGUUUAUUCAGGAGUUUAUUCAGCAGCGUGCAACGUCACUGUUAAAAGUAGAUCCACACAUAUUAUUCUCUAUCAUGCAGAAUUGUCAGCUCAUUGUAACAUAUGAAGCUUAUUUACAAUAGACGUGGGUGAUUCUGCCCUGUGUGCAAGUUUCUAUUGCUGCCCAGCAAACAUGUUCAAUUAUUCAUUGUCUAAAAUUUAGACUACAAUUAGUUGAAUGUGAUUAGGCUAGGCAUGGCAAUUUUAAAAAGGCCAUCAGACUGUUAAAUAGCCAUCACUAGAUUACUCAACCCUGCACCUUAGAGGCUGCUGCCCUAUG